rnacentral:tRNA from 1 species
GGAGAGAUUUGUUGAUAUUCCAACAAUUUUAUACUUGUAUUUAAUUGAAGGAAUGUUCCAUUUAUUUGGGUCUGGAUAUUUACUUUUUCUUUUACUUCAUUUUAACGAUACGUACGUGCAUGCAGAGUCCCGUAGCUCAGCUGGUUAGAGCGCUACACUGAUAAUGUAGAGGUCCGCGGUUCAAGUCCGCGCGGGACUACAUUAUUUGGGUAUGAUCCAUCAGUUUUUAUGGGGGAUUAGCUCAGCUGGCCAGAGCACCUGCCUUGCACGCAGGGGGUCAUCGGUUCGACUCCGAUAUCCUCCACUAAAAACAGGGAUUUAUUUAAAGAUAAUAGGGCGUCAUAACCCCGAUUUAUCUUGAAAAGAUCCAAUGUUUAAUCGUUCUUUGACAUCUUGAGAGAAUAUUUUCAAUGUUUAUUAAUUACAAUUUUGCUAAUAAAUAUUAUCGUAAU